UGGGAAUUUUGGACAAUGGGCGCAAGCCUGAUCCAGCCAUGCCGCGUGCAGGAUGAAGGCCUUCGGGUUGUAAACUGCUUUUGUACGGAACGAAAAGGUGCCUUCUAAUAAAGGGCGCUCAUGACGGUACCGUAAGAAUAAGCACCGGCUAACUACGUGCCAGCAGCCGCGGUAAUACGUAGGGUGCGAGCGUUAAUCGGAAUUACUGGGCGUAAAGCGUGCGUAGGUGGUUGUUUAAGUCUGAUGUGAAAGCCCUGGGCUCAACCUGGGAAUGGCAUUGGAAACUGGGCAGCUAGAGUGCGGUAGAGGGUAGUGGAAUUCCCGGUGUAGCAGUGAAAUGCGUAGAGAUCGGGAGGAACAUCUGUGGCGAAGGCGACUGCCUGGACCAGCACUGACACUGAGGCACGAAAGCGUGGGG
rnacentral:rRNA from 1 species